GAUGAAGAACGUAGCGAAAUGCGAUAAGUAAUGUGAAUUGCAGAAUUCAGUGAAUCAUCGAAUCUUUGAACGCACAUUGCGCCCGCCAGUAUUCUGGCGGGCAUGCCUGUCUGAGCGUCAUUUCAACCCUCAUGCCCCCUAGGGCGUGGUGUUGGGGAUCGGCCAAAGCCCGCGAGGGACGGCCGGCCCCUAAAUCUAGUGGCGGACCCGUCGUGGCCUCCUCUGCGAAGUAGUGAUAUUCCGCAUCGGAGAGCGAUGAGCCCCUGCCGUUAAACCCCCAACUUUCCAAGGUUGACCUCAGAUCAGGUAGGAAUACCCGCUGAACUUAAGCAUAUCAAUAAGCGGAGGA
rnacentral:misc_RNA from 1 species